rnacentral:rRNA from 2 species
ACUCCUACGGGAGGCAGCAGUGGGGAAUUUUGGACAAUGGGCGCAAGCCUGAUCCAGCCAUGCCGCGUGAGUGAAGAAGGCCUUCGGGUUGUAAAGCUCUUUCGGCCGGGAAGAAAUCGUGGUCUCUAACAUAGGCCAUGGAUGACGGUACCGGACUAAGAAGCACCGGCUAACUACGUGCCAGCAGCCGCGGUAAU